UUCGCAAUGCCCGAAAGGGUGACGAAGCGACGCCGCGUGUGGGAAGAAGGCCUUCGGGUUGUAAACCACUGUCGGGAGUUAGGAAAUGUAAGGGUGCUAAUAGUAUCCUUACUUGACUAAGGCUCCGGAGGAAGCCACGGCUAACUCUGUGCCAGCAGCCGCGGUAAUACAGAGGCGGCAAGCGUUGUUCGGAAUUAUUGGGCGUAGAGCACGUAGGCGGCCUUGUAAGUCAGUUGUGAAAGCCUUCUGCUUAACGGAAGAACAGCAGCUGAUACUGCAAGGCUAGAGUGCGGAAGGGGAGAGUGGAACUUCUGGUGGAGCGGUGAAAUGCGUAGAUAUCAGAAGGAACACCGGCGGCGAAGGCGACUCUCUGGCCCAUAACUGACGCUGAGUGUGCGAAAGCUAGGGGAGCAAACGGGAUUAGAUACCCCGGUAGUCCUAGCCGUAAACGA
rnacentral:rRNA from 1 species